GGCUUCGCAGCGCGCACACGGGGAGCUUGUUCCCAGAGUUGCUGCGAAGAAAGUCCCCGUGCCUUGCUGCAGGGAGUGCGAGUGGGAGACCGCAGGGCUCGUGCCAGACUUCCACAGACAUGCCGUGAGCGCUCAUGAUUGGAGACCUCCAGUGGUGAUGCUUCUCGCAGAGCCUUGGUGGCGGGCUCGGGCCCGUCGCAGCAGCACAGACAUGCCGUGAGCGUCUCAUGAUUGGAGCGCCAACAGAACGGGGCUCACUCU
rnacentral:RNase_MRP_RNA from 14 species